ACCCGACUGUACUCAGCACCCCUCCCCCCAAAAAUUGCAUUCACGACAUUUAUAGGCCAGACGGAGCGGCAGAUUAUUCUCCACAUGGAAAGUGAAAGACGGAGGUGGAGAGAAAUAGACAGAAUAUGAAUUCCCCGACGUUUCAGCAAUUUGUUUCGGAAUUCCCAAUAGAUCCUCAUCCGUUUCAGUCCUUACCAGUUAUAUAUUUUCCAUUUUUGAAACGUAGAUACAGCAUUAUUACAGAAGAAAGUUAGGAAGAAGUAGAGAUAAAGAGAGACAGAGAGAGGGGGGGCUCACGGACCCGAUAACAGGGACAAGUUUCAACUCACGAUCUGUGAGAAUCCCACUGUAGCAAUCACCCAGGAGAGCCCCCACAAUCAUGCCUUCAGGUGGCAAGAAGAAAAGAGCUGCAAAGAAAAAGAAGGGCAGCGAAACCCACACCCCCAAGCUCUCAACCAACGACAUUCAAGGAAAUGACGAUUUGAAAUCCCAAGAUGGGAAAGAAAGUGAUAGUGGAGAGGUUAAUAGCCCUGCAUCUCGGGACCAGGGCAGUGACCAAAAUCAAUUUAACGAGGGAAGCGAGGACUUGGAGGAGAGAGACCCUUCAUCCAUUCAGUCAUUUGUUGCUGAAGACAAGUCUAUGGAGGGAUUCCCUAUUAAUGUAGAGGGUGCACAGAAAAUAGGCUUAGAGGAUGAUGGUGCUAUUGAAAUUGAGAGGGAGUUGCAAUCGGAGGAGAACUUUGAGAGCAAAAAUGGUAGCAUUGAGCACCUUGAGUUGGCCAAGGAAUCACAUGAUGGCAAUGAUCAGAGCUCUAGCAGUAGUAGUUCAGAUGAUGAGGCACGAGUCACUAAUGGUAAACCAAAGGAGGCCUACAAUUCAGUUUUGGAAGCAAGUUCAUAUGAUGACUUGGUUAAGCCUGUGGAUUCUUUGCCUGCAGAAGCGAUGUGGGCUACUGAAAAUCCAUCAGUUGGGGAGACUGUUAAUUUAAUUGCCGAAACUGCCCCUUUUAUUGAAUCUGUAAAGACAGUGGCAUCUGUUUCCCAGGAGACAAGUCACAGGACUGAAAGUGCUCCAGUUGAGAAUCCAGUGAUUGCUGAUGUUGUUGAAUCAGGACCAAAAGAAAACCCUCUCGUUGAGUCUCCUAAUCUGGUGGUUUCUGUGUCCCAGGAGACAAUUUACAUGACUGAAAGUGCUUCAAUUCAGAAUCAAGUUGUUGCUGAUGUUGUUGAAUCAGGACCAAAAGAAAAUCCUGUUGUUGAAUUUCCUAAUCCAGCAGUAUCUGUGUCCCUGGAGACCAUUCACAUGACUGAAAGUGCUCCAGUUGAGAACCCAGUGAUUGCUGAUGUGGUUGAAUUGGGACCAAAAGAAAACCCUCUUGUCGAAUCUCCUAAUCUGGAAGUGUCUGUGUCCCAUGAGACAAUUCACUUGACUGAAAGUGCUCCGGUUGAGAAUACCAUGGUUGCUGAUGUGGUUGAAUUGGGACCAAAAGAAAACCCUCUUGUCGAAUCUCCUAAUCCAGCUGUAUCUGUGUCCCUGGAGACAAUUCACAUGACUGAAAGUGCUCCAGUUGUGAAUCCAGUGGUUGCUGAUGUGGUUGAAUCAAGAUCAAAUGAAAGUGAUGAAAAGUUGUUGCGUAAAUCAAGUCAGGCUCCAGUAGCUGUGAUGGAUUUGACAGUGAAUAAUAAUGAGGAUGGCAUAUUUCCUUUAUCUGAUGAUCAUGUUCAGGCAUCGUUGACUGUGGUGGAAUCAGUGUCAAAUGGAUAUGAGGGUAAAAUAUCGCCAUCAUCUAGUGUUCCUGUUGCUGCAACUAGUAAUAGUGCAGCACAUGUCAAAGAUUCUGAGAUUCCUGAAUAUUCUGAAAGCCAGCCUCUGGUAGCACCAGCCCCUCAAAUGGUGAAAAGAACCUCCUGGCUGAGUUGCUGUGGAUUGUUUGAGGUUCUAACAGGCACCGGGAGAUAAAUUCAGGGAAUUUAUGGAAGCAUUUAAAAACUACUGAGGCACUUGGAGAGGAGUGAAAAUUUCCUUUCAAGGGAGAGGAAAAGUGAUUUUCAUUUUUCGUUCAAAUAUUUUAUGCCAUGUCAAGGCCUGAUAUGGAGAUCAUCGGUCCCAUUUUCUUGUUUCUUUUAUUCCUACUUAAAAUCUGAUAUUCUCCUUGAAGUUUUCUACUGCUAUUGUCUAGAGAGACUUUUGAGUUGCAUUCAAUAAAGCUGUUACCUUCCACAAGCUUCUCAGUAGCUGUUGGGUAUCAUAAUAAGUUAUGUUUUCUGGCAAGAUUGGUGAGGUGAAUGCCUUAGCAACUCUGGAACAUAUUGCAAAAGUGAUGCAUGUCUGAGAUGGAGGCUUUGUUUGGUUUUAGAAUAAUCAUUGCUGAAUGUCUUAGAGAAUUGCUGUUUCCAAGUCUUAUUUGGUGCUUCUACACCUCGCCCAGAAAAGAAACAGAUGGGUUUCAGUGGAACGGUGAAGCUUGUGAAAGUUCAGAAGGAUUUGGUCUAGAGGAAAUUUUGAUUUGUCCAGCUAGAAAACUGUUCUUGGUUUUUCCCAGUAAAUAACCAGCCAAGAGGUCUGAUCAGAUAAACAGUCUUAGGGUUUGUGAUGAUGGUGUCAAUACUUGUAGGCAGCUUGGUGUCCCUGGCUUUCGGCACACGCCUUGUUACUCUUGUAGUCUAGUGCUUUUUCUAGGUGGUGUGUUGUACUUACAGUUUCUUUUGCAUCAUUGGGUAGGGUGGUGGUGUGAUCUGGCUUUUGCAAGUUCUUAGGUGAUAUCAAUAUUCCUUUGAUUGCUGUCAUGGUGUUAUCUUAUGGAUGGUGUCUACGCUUCGUCUACAACUUUAUAUUUUGCUUUUACAGCAUAUGGGUCUUUUUAUUGCAUGGUUGCUGGCUUUCUUUAAUUGAUUGGGGGUGUUUUUAGGAAUGGAUUUCCUCUUUUGAAAUGUUGAAACUUAAAGAGAGCCAUCAAAUGCCUGAUAUGGUUGGUUUUA